rnacentral:lncRNA from 1 species
AUGUCCCAGCUUACAGAAGCUCCUGAGACUCUUCUAGCAUUUACUCAAAAAGCCCAAUGUUUCCAAAGGACAUUAAGUUUGAUUUCUCUGAUGAAGGCUUGUGGCUGCCCCUCAUGCUGUACAAAAUACUACCAAGUCAGAGUCGAAAAGCAAACCGUAAGUGCAUGUUACUUCAAGAACAGUUAUUUUUCAUUAUUUAGGGAAAAUGUCUCAGAUUUCUUUCAUUCAUGCCAACACGCUUACUUUGUAAGAAAUGUGGGAAAAGGGGAGGGAGAAAGAAUACUCACAUGAAAAUGCCUUUUUAUGCUGUGGAGGAUUGAGAUAUAAAGGUCAUAAGACCCCAACAUCUUUUUAAAACAGUAUUUUAUAAACAAGGUCAGCUUUGCAAGAAAAAAAAAAAAGCUUAUUUGGAACAUAAGCAAGUCCCUACACCUCACUGUUCAGGUAAAAUGUACGUAAAAUAUGAACAGACUAGCCUAUUCCAGGGUUUGAAUCCUUCAGAUCAAGACACUUUUUCUCAGAAUUUUUCAAAAUUGAAAUAUUGCUUUUCUUUAAAAGGGAAAAUAUUUAGGCUAAUGAAACCUUUAACAGAUUCAGUAGUUCUACUAAAAUAUAAAUAGGUUACCUGCUCAAGGAAAAACCAUUGGGACUUGGGAGUUACAUGGAUUUCCUUACAUUAUUAAAGAGAUCCCAGAAAACAGUAACUCUUCCAAAUAUGUGCUAGAUUUGAUUUGAUUCCUCAAGAAUAAAGUUUAUAAUUACCAUCACUAUUUGAUUAAAGAGAACCAUGACUUGAUUACAUUACAUUACAUCUUUACAAAGGUGCCUGUUUCUCAGGAAGCCAUAAUCUUAAAAUCUCUUAACACACACGUAAAUAUAUCCCUCCAUAAUACUUCUGAAACUUCAAGGCUCUUCCUUCUAGUUAGUGAAAGAGGUGCUGUGCUAGUUGUCUGUAAGCUUAGUCCAAAUUGCUUGCAUAUAUUGUAUGUAUAAGUGCCAAAACCUAAAGACAAUGUUUUUUAGUCAAAUACAACUGUUUAAAUCACCUAUCCCCUCCCUACCCACACACACCCAUCCCUUGGAAGCCAAAGGAAGAAAACUUCAGUAAAAACUGUUAUUCACAGAAAAUUACUCUUGGGUGAUUUGGAAUUAUAUUUUCCAAAAUGGAUGCAGAUUGACCCAAAAAUAAUGAUUUAUUGUUAUACUUUCCCAUGGCUUCUCUGUACUGCAACAAUUUAAUAAAGUAAUAGGACUUUCUCCUUAAAAGGAAAGGUGCUCAUUAGCGUUUGUAAUUCCAUGUUGUGUGGCACGGUAAGUGUUGUGAAAAGGUUAUGGAUCUACUCACUGUAGCAUCAAAAGUGUAAAGGUGAUAGGUGAGAUUCUCUUUGUUGCAAGUGCUGAGAAAUAAUCAUUUAAAGGUCAGUUGCACUAAAAAAAAAAAAAAAAAGGAACAUUUGUUUAAUAAGUAACUCAUUUUAGGAUAUGCUGCACUUUUAAAGGUUACAGAGUAGACCAAUUUGCCAGUGAUGUCAGCAAGAAGUACUAUUAAAGUCAUUGGUCCUAUUAAAACAAUCCUUCGUAAAAUUCAGAUUGCAUGCCUUCCCACAUAGCCCAGCACACAUCAAAAAAGUACCUAACCUGUUUAUCAUGUGGUUUCAAGGGGACGUUGCCUUGCUUUCUGUGCUUUACCUUAAAUCCUCAUCUCUCCUCUUAAAAGCAACAAAGGAGUAGUGGGUGGGAAAAUAUGUUAGAAAAAAAUAUAUAUAUAUAUAUAUUAGUACACACACACACAUACACACACAUACACUCCCCACUCCACAUCAGAUUCAUUCUAUUUUGCUUCAUUCUUUCAGUUUUAUUAAUUUCUAAGAACAUGCCUAUAAGUCUUGAAUUAUAAGAUUUCUCACUGUACCAUAUACCAAUAACUAUCUUGCUAGAAACUCUUAUAUAAAUGAAAUAA